GGCCUUAAGAGGAACUGGCUUGGAUGACCACGAUGGGACCCAGCUGUAAUCCCCAAACUCAGGAGGCCGAGGCAGGAGGAUUGCAAGUUUGAGGUUCCCGGUACCUAGAGCGGCGCCUGCAUGCGGCAGACCUAGGGAAUAUUUAUGGAGAACGUAAGUCAAUUGUAUUCUCGUGAAGGAUAUUUUAGAUAUGACAAACAAACGAAGGGAGCAAUACCUUGAUCGGGUCGGGCAAGGCUGACUCAACCCUUCCUCUCGGCUUUAAAAUCCACUUGGAGGCCAGCGUAGGGAGUGCUACUUUCCAGCAACUUGAGAGCUAUUCUUGGAAUACCCUGAAUGGAUCCUGGCUUUCAAGAUGCACGUUCGGAUUCUGAUUUUUUUUGGCUGCGGGGUUUGGCUGCAGAAUUUGGCUAUAAAAGGAGUUCCCACAGUCUAUCUUCUAAUCAGUCUGCUACGAAGCACGGAUAGGAGCUUCUUUCUCUUAUAUGUGAAACUGAAGUGUCAGAACUGAAGCACGGCGCUCAGUAAUAGCUUGGCUAAUAUUUAUCACCACCUUUAAGUUACCUGGCUGAAAUUUACCUGGCCUGAUGGAUGUUGGUCUUAGACGGUGAUGGACGUCUUAGACAUACAGUGAUGGAGAUCUGUCAUGGACAGUAAUGGAGGUCUUAGGCAGGGAUGGAGGGCGAUAUAUUGGUUGUUUGGAACCCUAGUUAAAAUCUGUGUUUCUACACAUACUCAAACCAUUUUCUUUUGCCUGUAACUGUUGUAGGCUCGUGAAGAUAAAAAUACUUGUUGGGGCUGGAGAGAUGGCUCAGCGGUUAAGAGCACUGACUGCCUUUACAGAGGUCCUAAGUUCAAUUCCCAGCAACCACACAGUAGCUCACAACCAUCAGUAAUGGAAUCUGAUGUCCUCUUCUGGUGCGUCGAGAAUAAAUGAGAUAAAUAAUCUUUUUUAAAAAAAUACCUGUGGAUUCAUAUCUUAAAUGCUUAUUAGUGUCACUCAAAUUUAGUGGUUGAAUUGGGUCACUAAACAUGUUAUGAUUAUGUGCGCUAUCUGACAUACUGCCUAUAUGUAUAUGUGGGUGGAAAUUCUUAACUUUUUAUUUACUAUGCUUAUAAGCUUAAAGAGUAUCUUUUCAAAUCUUUUGAUUAUAUUUAGAGCCAGUGUGAUUGUGUAUGGUGUGUGUGUGUGUGUGUGUGUGUGUGUGUGUGUGUGUGUGUGUGUAUGCGUGUAUGUGUGUGCACAUAUGCGCGAGCGCAUGCCCUGGCACAUAUGUGGAGAUCAGAAAUCUUUUUUUUUUCUUUUUAAGGGGAUGGGACAAGAUCUGUCUGUGUAGCCUUGGCUGUCUUGGAACUUGCUCUGUAAUCUAGGCUGGCCCCAACUCAAAUCUGCCUUCCUCUGCCUCCUGAGUGCUGGGAUUAAAGGCAUGCGCCACCAUGGCACAACUCAGAGGUUAGUUUUUGAGGGUCACCUCUUACUCCUUCCACCAUGGAAUCCAGGGACCAAACUCAUGUCUUCUGGUCGGCACAGCAGGCUCUUUUGCCCAUUCAACCUUCUUUACUAGCCAUAAAACAUCUCUAUUUUAACCUUGGCUUUCCUUUAAAGCAAGGGCUUGCAAACAUUUUGGAGACCAUGACAAGCCCUCUAACUAUCUGAUAUUUGCAGAUGGUUUCAGCCCUGGGUUAGAAACUUCUAAGCCAUGCAAAUGCUGGGAUACCAAAAUACCUCUGAGAUCAAGUUUCCAUACAUGUAUUUCGUGUCAAGUGAGUAUCUUGGCCAAGACUCUUAGCGUUUAUGUUGCUGGUGAUUUUCCACUUAGCCUGUGGUCCUUGAGCUAUCCAUUCCUUUAUCUUAUUCCUGGGUCUCAAUGAAGUCCUCAAGAGCACUUCAGAUUAUUGGCAGAUGCAUUUAAAAUUCAACUUAAGCCAGUCACUGUGGCUGGGGCACAGUUUACUCUGGUUUGGUUUUGUUUGUGUUUGUUUAAGUGAAUUCAGUAACUCUAUUUCUGGAACUAUCCAGACCAGGUCAUUGCAAAAUGAUUUGAGGUGAUUAUCACAGUCAACUUCGGUUGUCAGUUUCAUACAAACCUAGAGUCACCUGGGAAGAAGAAACCUCAGCUGAAGAUUGCCCAGAUCAGACUGGUCCAUGAGCUUGCUUCGUCUGUGCAG
rnacentral:lncRNA from 1 species